CUCAAAAUUACUGCUUAUCCGAAGUUUUUAAUUGCCAAUUAUGUUUUAAAGUACAUUUUGUAUCGAUUUAAAAAAAAAAAUUGUCUUACAUCAGCUUCCUCCAUACCUUGUAUCGUUCUUCGUAACGAAAAAUCCUCUCCUUUUAUGCCUUUCAUUAUGUUAUAUUAUGAAUGAGUUCUUUUAUAUCCUAUAUCAUGUAACUUUACAAUGUUUCUUAUUUAAUACCCUUUACUACAUAACUUUACAUAUAGAUUCUACCACUGUGUUGUGUGUAAUACGAUAUUAAACCAUUCAAGACAGUAAAUUUUCAAAUUUAAAAUGCGAGGCUCGCCGAGCGUUUUAAAUAUAAAGUUCAACUGUGAGAGGAUAAAUCGUGAAAGAUUAAGUUAUACUUUGUACCACGAAACGUUACAAUGGUUUUUUUUCGGUAUAUAUGUUACAGGGAAUUUGUGAAAUCAGGGAUUUUGUAAAAUCACUGAAAUUUCAGGGAAUUUGUAAAAUCACUGAACUGAUUAGUGAUUUUAUAAAAUCCCUGAUUUUGCCUAGUGAUUUUACAAAAUCCCUGAAAUAAUAAAGAUCUUUUUUACAGAUUCACUGAUUAAAUUCAGGGGAUUUAUAAAAUAAACUCAUUCGUUUUAUUAAGAAUUUCUGU
rnacentral:lncRNA from 1 species